AUUGAACGCUGGCGGCAUGCUUUACACAUGCAAGUCGAACGGUAACAGGGAGCUUGCUCCGCUGACGAGUGGCGAACGGGUGAGUAAUGCGUCGGAACGUGCCGAGUAGUGGGGGAUAACGCAUCGAAAGGUGUGCUAAUACCGCAUACGUACUGAGGUAGAAAGUGGGGGACCUUCGGGCCUCACGCUAUUCGAGCGGCCGACGUCUGAUUAGCUAGUUGGUGAGGUAAAGGCUCACCAAGGCGACGAUCAGUAGCGGGUCUGAGAGGAUGGUCCGCCAGACGGGGACUGAGACACGGCCCAGACUCCUACGGGAGGCAGCAGUGGGGAAUUUUGGACAAUGGGCGCAAGCCUGAUCCAGCCAUGCCGCGUGUCUGAAGAAGGCCUUCGGGUUGUAAAGGACUUUUGUCCGGGAGCAAAUGCCUGGUGUUAAUAGCACUGGGAGCUGAGAGUACCGGAAGAAUAAGCACCGGCUAACUACGUGCCAGCCGCCGCGGUAACAC
rnacentral:rRNA from 1 species